UACGUAGGGUGCGAGCGUUGUCCGGAAUUAUUGGGCGUAAAGAGCUCGUAGGCGGUGUGUCACGUCGGCCGUGAAAACCUGCAGCUUAACUGUGGGCGUGCGGUCGAUACGGGCAUCACUGGAGUUCGGCAGGGGAGACUGGAAUUCCUGGGUGUAGCGGUGGAAUGCGCAGAUAUCAGGAGGAACACCGGUGGCGAAGGCGGGUCUCUGGGCAGUAACUGACGCUGGAGGAGCGAAAGCGUGGGGAGCGAACAGGAUUAG
rnacentral:rRNA from 1 species